GCCUGGGUGGCUCACUCAGUUGAGCAUCCGACUUCGGCUCAGGUUAUGAUCCAUGGUUCGUGGGUUCAAGCCCCGCACUGGGCU
rnacentral:tRNA from 1 species